rnacentral:lncRNA from 1 species
GGGGUAAUAUGACGAGGAGAUCGGCGGAGGAGACGGAGAACUGGGGCUGCUGUGUCCACCGCUGCUACGUUGAGCUGGUGGGAGCGGAGGUGGAGGAUGGUGGCGGUGGUGGGGCUGGUACUCGAGAGCUGCGGUGGUGUUAGGAGGUGGGAGCGGCUCUUCAGGCUCCCGGCGGUGGAAGUUGCGGUGGCAGCCGCAGGCAGCGCAUUUGAGGGAGGUGGGGUCAGUGGGAGUGGCAGUAGGGGAAGGCAUGAACUCGCCGCAACCGUCGACGGCGUGGCCUCCCAAGCUGGCGGCGUGGUUCUUGAGGCAUUCCUUGUAAGUAACCAGAAGG